CUCAUACUCACUUUGCAUCAAUUAUUCAAACUCACUUGCUAUCUCAUCAUCAAUUUGCAAGACAUAAACCUUUCACAACUCGUGCACAAUGGUUCGUCUAUUGGGAAAUCUUAAACAAGCAAACACAAUUCAAAUGUUGAAUUCCAUGUUAAGACAAGUUAGAUCCACAUUCACAACAACGAGCGGUGGGUCAGAUAUUAGCGAUGGAAAAGGUGACAAACAUAACUAGUAGUGACCAGUGGGCAAUAACAAAAUACUACCUCCUAUUCAAUUUAUAAGAAGUUGUUACCUUAUUAAAUAAUUUGUAUUAUAGAAUAGAUAUAUCAAUUAUUAAUAUAGUACUAUAUGGAUAUAUGGAAAUUUGAUGUUUUAUGAAUUUUAAUUUAAUUAAGAGUAAUACUUUGCAUGUUUAUGAAAGGUUGCACCUUUUGAUGUAUAAAGUUUGCCGCUCAUAAAUUUGUCAAUCAUAUGAUAGUCGAUAAUCUUGGAUUCUUGGUGUCGCAAAGCAAUAAUAUUGACGUUUUCUCUUC